AUAGCGUAUAUUAAAGUUGUUGAGGUUAAAAAGCUCGUAGUUGAACCUUGGGCCUAGCCGGCCGGUCCGCCUCACCGCGUGCACUGGCUCGGCUGGGCCUUUCCUUCUGGAGAACCGCAUGCCCUUCACUGGGUGUGCUGGGGAACCAGGACUUUUACUCUGAACAAAUUAGAUCGCUUAAAGAAGGCCUAUGCUCGAAUACAUUAGCAUGGAAUAAUAGAAUAGGACGGUGGUUCUAUUUUGUUGGUUUCUAGAGCCACCGUAAUGAUUAAUAGGGAUAGUCGGGGGCAUCAGUAUUCAAUUGUCAGAGGUGAAAUUCUUGGAUUUAUUGAAGACUAACUACUG
rnacentral:rRNA from 1 species